GAAAAAUCAUCGUCAAUUGAUGGAUCAAUAGCAUUUAUCAAGAGACCACCAAGAAUAAACAGCUUUUGAAAAGUGGAGACAACUCCAAAAUAAUGCUUUCUUCCCCCUGGAAGUUCAGGGAGGGUGACCCAGAAGUCUUCAACAGGGUCAUAAAACUGCCAUUUAUUUUCUUCAUCAUGACAGCAUACAAAUAGAAAAUCUUCCUCCGU
rnacentral:misc_RNA from 1 species